rnacentral:rRNA from 1 species
AAGUAGUGGCGAGCGAACGCGGAACAGCCCAAACCCUGAUCGUUACGGCGGUUGGGGGGUUGUAGGACUACAAUGUGGACUAUAAAAACGAAGUAGAACGAUUUGGGAAAGUCGACCAUAGAGGGUGAAAGUCCCGUAUACGUAAAGUUUUAUUACCUAGUAGUAUCCUGAGUAGGGCGGAACCGGAGAAAUUCCGUCUGAAUCCGCCAGCACCAUCUGGUAAGGCUAAAUACUCCUGAGAAACCGAUAGUGAACCAGUACCGUGAGGGAAAGGUGAAAAGUACCCUGAAUAAGGGGGUGAAAUAGUACCUGAAACCGUGCGCCUACAAACGGUCGGAGGUCCCUAGUGGAUUGACGGCGUGCCUUUUGCAUAAUGAGCCUACGAGUUACCCUAAUUGGCAAGGUUAAGUGAUUCAGUCACGUAGCCGGAGCGAAAGCGAGUCUUAACAGGGCGUUCAGUCAGUUGGGGUAGACGCGAAACUUGGUGAUCUACCCAUGGCCAGGGUGAAGUGUAGGUAACACUACAUGGAGGCCCGAACCAGUUCACGUUGAAAAGUGUUUGGAUGAGCUGUGGGUAGGGGUGAAAGGCCAAUCAAACUGAGAAAUAGCUCGUACUCCCCGAAAUGUUUUUAGGAACAGCGUGGGAAUUAGUUUAUCAGAGGUAGAGCUACCGAUUGGACUAGGGGGAGUCAAAUCCUACCAAAUCCAGACGA